rnacentral:lncRNA from 7 species
ACGUAUGCUUCAAAUGCACUCCUAAAAUUCUUGACAGUCUGGUAGGAAACCUGCCUAGAAAAACUUAAAUAUUUCCUCCUAGUAAAGAGCUGAAUAAGAUUUGACACCAUCACUGGAACUCUCAAUUUGCAUCUCACCAAGGUGGGUGUUUAUUCUGAUUACCUAUAGAAUGCUAACUUGGAUUAGGAUUUUAUGUGAGCAGUGUCCAUUGAAUACUUGUCCAACUGUAUAUUCAUAGUCUCUCAGUUUGCACUGCAGGCACUUUUUGUUAAGAGUACCAAAAUUUUAUAUUGUCUAAUCUUUCAAUUUAUAUAUAACAAUAAAAUAAUAAAUAAUACAUUAGUGCUUAAAAGGUAGUUGAGUCUAGAAAAGGAUUUUGUUUAAUUUUAGAAAAGAUAGUAUUUCUUCAGUUUCUUUAGUCCUUUUGCUUUCAGAAAUCCAAUUUCUUCUGUAUGAUCAUUGGAAGCACUGAUUUUCCUUAAUUUCUUUGCAGUUACAGUGAGUGAGAGACUAGUUUGGCAAAAAUAGUUCUGUGAGCAUUAUGAAAUAACCAUGUUACAAGUAUGCUGGAAGACUGAAAGACGAUUGUUCAUGAACACAAGCAGCCUUCAGUGGACAUUCAAUGUGUGCCUACAGCUGGAGAAGCUCACUGGUGUGAUGCUUUUGUUGCUCAUAAAUCUGAUUUCACAGAACUUGAAAAGAAGUUGGAUGAUACCAAAAGGGAACUGGAGGAGGUGCAUGCUGAUCUUGUCAUGGUCAUGCAGGAACUUGAUUUGGCAAGAGCUGAGGUACAACUAUGUGUUUGAAGAUCACGUGAAUGAGUGCUGCAAGACCAGUUUUUUUUGUCUCCUUUGUGGUAGUGGUUAUUGAAUGAUUCUUUAUAUAUAUACAUAUAUAUGUAUGUAUGUAUAUUUAACAGAAGAAGGACAUUUUAUUCUGAAUGUCCAGAUAUUCUUAAUGAUCAAUAUAGAGAAACUGAUUUCACUAUCAUUAUUGCACAUUUAUAUGUAUGUAAGAUACGUAAGCUAUGUCUCCUCACAUGUAAACAUACAAACCCCAUGUAUUCAUGCUGACAUUGUCUAAAUAUAAAGCUUUUCAGUUUCAAUUUUUCUAGAAAAACCCAGAAGAACAAACAGCGAAAUCAACACAACACCAAACCAAACUUUAGUGCUGUCAAUCUUGGUAUUGUGAGGAAUUUUACUGAUAAAUCUACUAAAUGUUGUUCAUUCACUGUGUAACAUCAGCUAAUCAGGUACUUAUAACUGGGAAAUUCUGUUUUUUCCCUCAAUACUAUUACAUGCUCCAACUUAAUUUUAAAUACUCCAAAACAUUCAAACAUUCAGCUUUUUUUACUGACUGCAGGAAGCCACUAGUAGAAGUAGUGGUAUGACAAAAAAAAUUCAAUUUUCUGUAUGAUGUAUAAGGCAUUAAGACAUUCAUGUAGUCAGACAGAAAUAAAAGUAAUUCUGUAGUACUAGAAGUUUAUAGGAAAUGUAAUGGUUGAAUAGAAAUUCAGAUUUCUUAUUUUACCUUGUUCAUUGCAAAUAAUAGAAAAAAAAUAUAUUAAGCUAUUUAAAUUCUGGUGGAAAUUUACUUUUGAUCUGUCCUAGUUGCACUAAAAUAUUAGCAGCUUACCUUCCUAGGUAUCCAUUUCAGUGUAGAAAUCGGAUAGUGUUUUGACAGUAAUAUCUUAGUAAGCAGAGUAAAAUAAUGUGACCAUGUGCGUAUUAACUUAUCCAAAAAUUCAGAGCUAGGCCUAAUUCUUUAUCUUAUUGAUUUUUUACUCGAGGGCUAACGCACAGUAUUUUUAAACAUUUCCAAUGAAGCAAUGGAAAUACAACUUAAUAAAAUAAAUAAUGAGUCUACCAUUUGACUGACAUUAGCAGAUUUUAAUUUACCCUAGUAUACUCUGAUUUGUGGUAACUGUACAUCUACAGUUUAAAAGAGAUUUAAUGUAUUCUGUAGGUACAGAAAUUUUUCAUAAAAGAAUGCUUGUAAUCUUACACAGAUAUAGUAAUUUGUCUUGGUAUACAAGUAUGUGUAAAUUCUAGCAUUGUAAGGAAAAUCUGAUUAUGAUUUAGCUGCAUUAAACAUAUCAAUAUAAUCUAGUACAAAUUUACUUCUUGUUUUUAAUGAUUCGGAUUCUACAACUGUAACAUCACUGUGUAGUAUUUAGUACUCCUGAAAAAUA